rnacentral:lncRNA from 1 species
GACCUAACAGGAUUAACAAUCUGACUAAUUACCACAGAAGUGAUUAUUGUAGGGUGUGGACUGAUUGAAGCUGACUCAGCAACAGGAACAGUGACAGGCAUAGUUCUAAGCACUUUGCAUACAUCAGCCAUCCUGAAGUUGUUCAAGUAUCACUGGAGCUUGAUUCUGUCAGUAUCUGAUGCCCCACCAUGGCUCCAGCUCAGUCCAGGAUUUAUGGGUUGUAGAGGAUUUCUUCAUGCUACAGAUUCUUCAAGAACAAGAAAUGGUCUCAGCAUGAUAUAAGUUAUUUCUCCCCUUAAAGAACCAAUAUUCCCAAAGUACGAGGCCUAGAUACCUGUUUUUUUUUCUGUGAAAAUUGUCUGGAUCUAUAACCUUGCAUUCAAUUUUAAGCACUUCUUGGUGAUGUUGUGGUACUGAAUGAGGAUUAAUAUGACCUAAAAUUCUCUCAAUGGUGUCAGCAUCUAGUAGGAGUUCUAUAAAUGCUAGUGCUUAGUUUUCCUUUCAAUAUUUAACCCAAGUGAUGAUAAUUGAGUCUCACUUUAAAAAGAGUUUGACAUAUGCCAAGAUGCAAACAAGGCACCUAAUUUAUGUUAGUUCAUUAAAUUCUCAUAAGUCUCUCAGAGAACUAAAGCCAUGAAUGUUCUCAUUUCAUAAAUGAGUAACCUGAAGCCCAAGGUGAGAACAACCUAUUCCUAUUCUCACACUAAUUAGCAGUAGUGGUAGGAGCCCAUGGCAGGCAGUUUCCCUCCAGAGCCUGGACUCCUAAGAAUGUUGUGUAGAGUUGAAUUCCUGGUUUGACAUUCAAGAUGUUUAACCUAGUUAUAAAAUGAAAGUGAAGGAAUGAGAUGAAAACAGGAAUUCAAACUUGAUUUCCAAAUCUAACCUUUACAUCAGCACUUAUGUGUAGUUCAUGAACUAGUGUCCCACGGGAAUGCUGCCUGUGUGAUGGGAAUGGCCUACGGGAUCCUGCCUUGUCCCCUGACACCUCCCAAGACAAAGACAAUGUCAAAUGGCUCCUGUUAUGCCAAUUCCCAUUUCUUUUGGUUCUGAAUCUUUUUGGCAGGAAGCAGACACUUGCUAUUUAAUUCUUGCAACCGCUUGUUAUCUUGCCUGUCAGCUCUUGCAUUGAUGAAAGAGUCUCUCUGGGUACUAAGUCAUUAUCCAAAUUGUUCUUGGAUGUAAACCAUUCUUGAGUACUCCUUAUGUGCUGGCAGUGUGACCUUCUGACAGUAUAAGAGGGGAGACCCACAUACAUACCCACACCACAAUCCAUAUGGUGUUU